rnacentral:lncRNA from 1 species
CGGAUAGUCGUCGCCCAACUAUUACUCAUAUGCUCCCCAAAUAUCGCCUAAUUUUUUAUUUCAUCACACGAGUCCUCAAACCUCGCAAGUUCAAUCACCCCACUCUAUCAAAAGAGGACGCAAAAAUCUUACAUGCAAUUAUGACCGGGGCUCGCAUAAAUUGGUGCCUGUUCGUCAUGACACAUAUGUAUGACGCUAUUGGAAACGGUAGACCACUCCCUUAUGCCUUACUCAUAAUGGCUCUUCUUGAAGCCGCCGGCAUCGACACC